UCCCAGGACCCCGGGGUCACGCCUGAGCCCCCCGGGCGCCCCUGCCGUGUGCUCGCUCACGUCCCCCGUCCUGCAGAGCUGGAGCUCUCUCUCCGUCCCACGGCCGGACCUCCGUCGCUGCUAGCUUGUGGUGCAGCCGUCCACAGCCUGGCUCCCGGGAGUCAGUGGGGCCACGUCCCUGCAGCUGCUCUUCUCCUCUGGGCAGUGGGUGUCUGCGGGCAGGACACUGCCGGGGCUCCGUGGGCCUGCAGUGGCCAGGCCGCAUCUGUCCUCGGGUCAGGGACAGUCGUCACAUGCCAACGCGGGGUCCCCGGGCGGCCGCACUCGGCCUGGGUUUACCAGGAGCGGCAGCGGGGUCAGGCCCGGCCCCAGACUGGAGGCCCAUCCCGGGGUCGAGUCAGGGGACCCCUGAGCAGCCGGGCCGGGUGUGCGCCGGGGUGGCCGGAGCGGCAGGACCAGUCACAGGGUCCCUGCCUCCCGGCUCACAGCUCCCUUGGCUCCCCCGAGUCGGCGCGUGGGCCGGGCCUCGUGUGCGUCCUGGGAUCUUUCCCCUGCAGCCCUUCCAGGUGGCUCUCCUCUGCCCUCUGGCAGUUGUCUCACGUGCACGGGCCGACGGGAACCCUCGAGGGGCUUGGACGGGCUUCUGACCGCGGUCCCGGUGAACCUGGGCCAGCUUGGCGGCCUGCGCAGCCCCAGCGCCCGGCCCGGGUCUGGGGGAGGGAGGGCCGCCCUGCGGACACCUGUCCUGGCUCCGUUCUGGACUCUUCUGGGUCCCGGGGGGGAGAGUCUAUUCCCUGCUCCUUGGCGUCGUGGCAGGAUUCAGUUCCCCACGGGCCCCCCAUUUCCUCGCUGGCUGCACGUUCCCGGCUCCUGCAGGCUGGCCGCUCGCCCUGUCUCGGCGCUUCCAUUGCCGAAGCCAGGUGGCGGUGGCCUGAGUCCUCCUCACGCUGGCAGCCCCUCCUCCUUCCGUGUCCUCCCUGUGCUGUGGAGCAGAGGCCCGGGAAGCAAAGGCCUGGGGUGUCCGGGGAGCAGAGGCCUGGGGGGCCCGGGGAGCAGAGGCCUGGGAUGUCCAAGGAGCAGGGUCCCGGGGGUCCCAGGGAGCAGAGGCCCAGGAUGUUUGGGGAGCAGAGACCAGGGAGGCCUGGGGAGCAGAGGCCCGGGUGUGGGGUCCUGGUCAGUGUGGCCCACCCCAUCUGCCCUUGUCUGCCCAGUGCUCCCAGAUCCCCCCAGGGCAGUCACUCUAGACGUGCCCGUGCACUGCUGGGCACACGGCUGCCAUGUGGCCUCUGGGCCCCUGCACGUCAGGCUCACUCACACCCAGCUCACACGUGGCACCGCACACCUGCCAAGUGA
rnacentral:lncRNA from 1 species